UACAGAGGUCUCAAGCGUUGUUCGGAUUCAUUGGGCGUAAAGGGUGCGUAGGCGGCGCGGUAAGUCGGGUGUGAAAUUUCGGAGCUUAACUCCGAAACUGCAUUCGAUACUGCCGUGCUUGAGGACUGGAGAGGAGACUGGAAUUUACGGUGUAGCGGUGAAAUGCGUAGAUAUCGUAAGGAAGACCAGUGGCGAAGGCGGGUCUCUGGACAGUUCCUGACGCUGAGGCACGAAGGCCAGGGGGAGCGAACAGG
rnacentral:rRNA from 1 species